GUGCUCCCUUUAGCGACACCAACACUAAAAUUGGAGCUUUACUGAGACUAGCAUGUCCCCUACAAAAGGAUGACACGCAAAUUCGCAAAGCGUUCUAUGCUUAA
rfam:Canis lupus familiaris chromosome 8, whole genome shotgun sequence.